AAAGGAAGAAACAUAAUAUCGCAGAACUAGAAUAAAGGAGCCUAUUCCGGUACCUAUUGUCCAAGGAAACUUCUGUAUAUUCUGUAGGAACUACCGAACUACCAUGGAAGUCAAAUCUUACCAGAGCCAGGCGGAGUCGUUGCUGAAGGAAUAUAUAUUAGCAGAUCCAUUUGUCCCUUACAGUUCAAUUGCUGGUAGCAUUUUUGCAUGCAAGACAGUAUGUUUUUCAUCGUUACUGCAUGGUGUUAUUUACUAGAAAAUAUUUUGAAUGCGUAGUUUUUAUGUAAUUAGUUAUAAAUUUUUAUAUACCUUUUUUUUUUAUAAGAAUGUGUUCCUUUUCAGGUCUAUGAUCUUGCCCAAUUGAUUAGUGCUGUCCACUUUAAAUGUUAUUCCAGUUUCUCCAGCAUACAGCGGGUUGAGUGGAGUAACAGGUGAUUGAAUAUUUUCAUUUAGUUCAAUUGUCAUUUCUUUUUCAAUCGGUAAAGUUUAAUCAUUUUUCUUAAAUCGACAACUUAUGCAGGGCCAUAUCAACCGUCCAUGCCAUUUUUGUUUCAGCUAUGUCUUUGUACUGUGUGUUUUGGUCGAAUAUAAGAGUUUGUACAUAGCACACUUGUUGUUUGUUUGUCCCUUCAUAGACAUUUCGAUAAACUGUUAUUUUUGUUUGUCGGAAUUGAAUAUUUUCCACAACUAGAACUCCGAAGUAUCUGGAAUGAUCCAUUUUAUCAUUCUCAAUACCUAUAAAAGAAGGACAUAGAAAACAGUUUCCAAAGCAAGUUGCCUAUGUUUUGAAUUUGUCUUUGGAAGCCACUAAUUGCUUGGAGCACACUGUUAGCCAGUCGUGGUUCCAUCCACUUAUUUGGAUAGACAAUUGUGCAUCCACAUGAUCUGGAAUAAACUAGUUUUUAAUAAAUAAUUGCCCAAGGAUUUAGUCUCAGUGUUACAGCCCAGUCUUUGUUGUCAAUACUCUUUCCCCUGUCGUGGAUGAGCGUCAUAACAGCUUCUUAAUGUGCAGUGGCUUUUGCACGGUUGUUUUUUUUCCUGCUGAAGCUAGAGUAGCUAUGGAUAUAGCAGAUGCAGAUGCCAUCAAUUUUUAUACUGGCCUUUCAGCAUCAAAAUCAAAAGGAUCAAGUGGGAACUUAAAGGAGGUUGAUUUCAAUGAAACACCCUCUAAGCAAGCCAAGAGACUCCAAUUAAGCCUGCAAGCUCUGCUUAAAACAGGUAUUUAUAUACCUUAUUAGUUUUUGUACCUUUACAAUUAGCGAUUUUUAUAUCAAACGAGAGAGGUUAAUCUUAGUACAUUGAUAUCUCAACAAAAUGUUAGAACCUUUGGAGCACUAGAGACAUUUUCUUAGAGCAUUUACUGAAGUUUCUAUGAUUGCAGUGGAGACAGGUCGACGCUACUUCCCUCAUUGCUUAGAAGUGGUUGAUAAGUUUUAGGAUUGUGAUUGGUCCGACGCUUCCCUCCUAGAAAAGGGUACUCCUGAAGAGCAGAAACUCAAAAGGGCACGCUACAUGGUUGAGAAAAAUCGCUCAGAUUUGUCGUCAUCCUCGUCGUCGUCAUCUUCUCCAAAGGAAGGAGUAAAGUGUAAGGGUAGGAAAAUGUGUUGCUUAGCUGCCUGUCUUUGUAUCCAUUUAUAGGCAACUAAAAGAGUUUUAGUGAGUUUGAUUGUUACUUGCAGAGAGAUACUCUUCGAGCCUAUGUUAUGGCUAUGUUGCAUAAUAGCAACAGAACUUCAAGCUUGCGUUGUUGUAUUUUCCCAGAUAUUUGGCAUGUAAUACACUAAAUGACAAAUAAUUUUCUAAUUUUAGAGGGGAAAGUUAUGUCAGUUAAUUAUUUAUUUAUUUUGUCUGUUUAAUUCAGUUUAUUUUUUCUCCAAAAAAAUCUUCAUAUCUCCAUCUGCAAUUUAAGUCAUUUGUAACUUCUUUCAGGGAGGAAGGAAAAGGGAAAAAAGAAGAAGCCUUUGUAAGUAUAUUUUACAGUACUGAUUUUCCUAUAGAAAUUGGUUAAGGUGACAUUAAUGUUCUUAGUAACAGAUGGAUAUGCAGAAUUUUCGUCGAAAUUGAAAUUAGAAAUGGAUGGAUAUGAAUGACAUAUAUUCAGAAUUUUUUAGUAGAAUGUUUAAACAAAAUUUUUUAGCUCAUUACUCUCUAAAAGGAAAAUAAAUUUUUUAUUGUAAAUAUUAAAUAUUAAAUUUAUAAUAUAAUAAAUGUGUGACUUAAGGUGCACAAUACCUAUAUAAUAAUAAUAAUUAAGACAAGAAAAAUCAAAUUUUGUAAAUUACCAAAUUUCCCUUGGAAUUUGAUAUUCUAUAUGAACGUAGGUGUUGCAUCCACUGGGUGAGUACAACUGAAAGAAACUAACUAAAGUAAAACAAAAUAUCAGAAAAAUAUGGCGAGCUUCUCAUAUUUUUUAAGUGAAAAAAAAAAAAGAAAACUGAAAUUAAUUAUUUUUAUACCCAAAUUCUCAUGCUCGAAGGCCGCUGGAAUUGGCCAUUGUAAUUUUGUCAUCCUCGUUAUUCACUGGCCAUCGCAGCCUUCCUCCCUUAAAAUGAGAGUCGUUUUUUGGACCACGACAUAAUAAAAAUAGUAUUGAUUAAUACUAAUAAAUUUCUUUUUGAUUAUUUUGCAGUGUGAUAGUCUAGUGCGUGCCAGUGCCCAGCAUAUCACUUGAACAUGUGGUAAAAUUCUGCGAGUCUUUGUAAAAUAAUUUUUAAAUUGUGUAUUAACCAAAUAGCUCAAUGAAGAGUAUCGCUCAUUAUUUUAUUUUGUAUAUAUUUAUGAUAAUUGUUGAAAAGAAAAAUGUAAAGUGAGAUUCAUGAACAUUUAUGAAUGUGGAAAUUAACACAACCAGAAUUUAUGAUGAAAUAAUUUUAAGUCAAACGAGUGUAAGUUUGUAUAUAUAUUUUUUUGAAUUGUCAUAUAUAUACAAGUUUGUCACUAACAGUAAAUUAAAUUAUGAAUAAUUUAAUAAUUCAAAAUCUCAUUUAACCAUCAGUGUUUAUAGGGUGCGUUUGGCACAUUGUAUUGUAUUAUAUUGUAUUAUAUUAUUUUAAUGCAUGUGUAUUAUAUUAUAUUGUAUUACAUUAACAUUGUGUUAUAAUAAUACUAUACAAUGUUUGGUACUACAUUGUAUUAAUUUUUAAUAAAUAUAUAAUAUUACACUGUAUUAUAUUAAUUUUUUAAUAAGUAUUUUAAAUUAUAUAUUUAGAAAAUAACAUUUAUUAGUCGUUAAAAAAUACUAAAUAUCAAAUUCUUAAAUUUUAGAAAUUUAAUAUUAUCUUUCUGGUAUAAACGUUGAAAAAAAAUCAUAAUUUUCGGAAAGAUCGAAAUAAAUAAUUCAAUCAAGUAACCUUCAAUUUUUUUGUUUUAUUCUUAGAACUUCAUAGUUCUUUUGUUUUUUCUUUUUCUUUUUCUUUGCCUCUAUUUUCUUUUUCUUUGCCCUUUUUUUUUUCUUCAUAGUUCUUUUGGCUUCAUAAGUUUCUUUUAACUGAGUUAAUAGGGUCGUUAGGUUAAACUAAGUUUGGCUUCAUAAGCUUCAUGGUAGAGUGUAGAAUUGGGCACAAUUUUGGAUUAGACAAGUCAAAGGUCUUAUCAAGUAAUUGUUCUGCUUACUGAUUUGGUAAUUGCAACAUUGCUAAAUAGUUCAAUUUGUCCUUUUUAUUUUGUUGAAUUUAUUGUAUGUCAUAUUACUUGAUUUAAUUAUUUUCUCAGAUCUUGUAGGUGAAAAUUUCAGCUUCAAAGACCAAAGCUAAUCAUCCAGCAAUUCAGUGAAACCAAGACACAGUAGGUGCGUUUGGGAUUGAGGUGCUGUAGCUUUUAAGCUACAACUGCUGUAAAAAAAAAGUUGUAAUUAUGAAACAAAAGUUAAUAAUAUAUAGUAAAUAUAAAUUUUAAAUAAUAAUUUUGAUAAAGUUAUUAAAGAUAUAAUAGAUUUUGUAUUAUACAAGUGAAAAAUCAUAUCAAUAUAACUUAAAAGCUACAGCAGCUAGUGUUUACUAAACAUUUUAGUGCUGUAGCUUUUAAGCUACAGCUGCCCAAUCUCAAUUCCAAACGCACCCAGUGGCUCAUAAAUUGUUGUUGGUUAUUGAUCCCAGCCAUUCGGGUGCUCGCCAGUCCUAGAUGAGAAAACUUUCAACGCGGCGCAUAAAUUGCUGUUGAUCUGCUUUAUAUAUUUUGACGUUUGUGAUUUGUGAAUACAUGGUCUGAUUCCAGUGUUUACAACUUUGAAAUUCAAUUAAAAGUUGAGCUGUGAAAGAGUGUGUUGUAUAACUUGAGAAGCAAAUGAAACAAACAGAAAAUGUGUUUUUAUUUUUUUAAUCUAUCUAUCUAUUUAUUUUUGGUUUGGAAAUGUAACAAUUUAUAGCUGACAAAGUAAUAGAGUUGUAUACUUUUACUUGUAUUUAAUUUAUUGUUAUUAUUAUUUUUUUUUAAUGACUCGGUAAUGUCAUCGUCCGUGGUGUUUUGUCAUUUCGAAAGUACUUAACCCUUCCACGAUAAGUUUGAGCUUUCAGUUCUUGAUUUAGCGUGUGGGGUAUCUUUGUCUUUUCAGUAGUCAACACACGGUCAACAAAACAGUCUACAAACAAUCGACCUGUGAACUUGGGUCAAAGCUUUCAUCUUUAAAUCACAUAGGUAGAUCAUGAUUCAAGCUUCAGUUAUAAGCAUUUCGUUGUGAUUGAUAGUAUUCUUUCUUUGAUAUAUAUAUAUAUAGAUUCAGUUUGAAUAUGGUUCUUGAUGGUAUCAUGGAAAAUGCGAACGAAAAGUCAGCAUCUUUGAGUUUUGUCUCAUCAUAUCAAACUUGUUGGUCCACUAAUCAAUCAACAGGCACUUGUGAUCUUGAUAAUUUGAACUUAAGGAAGCAAAGCACCAAUCCCAAAGAGACAUGGCUUGAAGCUGAGAUUGUUGUUGAGGGCAAAUCAGUGGCGGUUAAUCGCAGCAUAUUGUCUGAGCGCAGUCAAUUUUUUCGUCGGCUUUUUAAUUUGAGAAAUGAUGGUUCUGUCAGUGAGGGGAAACCCAAGUAUCUUUUGACUGAUUUGGUGCCUCAUGGGAAGGUUGGAUAUGAAGCUUUCAAUGAUACCUUGCAUUUUCUUUACACUGGGAAGCUUAAGCCAUCUCCUCUAGAAGUUUCCACGUGUGUUGAUGACGCUUGUGCUCAUGGUGCUUGCCCUCCUGCUAUCAAUUUUGCUAUUGAGAUGAUGUAUGCUUCUGCUGCUUUCCAGAUGGAACAACUCGUUGUUUUGGAGGUAAUUGUGCUUCCCUACUAUUUGUAUUGAAUAAACUUAUGCUUCUUGGUAUAGUUUUAGCAUAUAUGGGAUUGAAAUCAAUUUCAGUUGUGAAGCAACUUCGGUGGUUCCCAAUAUUAGGCAUUGUAGUAGAUCCAAAAUUAGCUUGUUAAGAAGUGUAGAUACCGGAGAGCCCAAAACUUCGUCUUAUCUUGCAAGAGUCUGUUGUUUUAUUUUCAAAGAGACAAAAGUGAUGAUGAUGGGCAGCGAACUCUAGGAAUCAAUGCUUGCUGACACUGACUCCCAAGAAUGAUAAAAACUAACCAAAAAGGUAUAGAUUACAUGAGUCUGAAUUUGAUAAGUGCGCCUAUCCUAUCACAAAAGCUUUUGCGUUGAGUUUCUAACCAAGGAAAAUUGUCACUUCUUUCUGUAGGCUUCAUAGAUUUGUUCAAGCCUUCAAGGAUGUCUAGCUGUUACUUACUGUCCAACAAUGGUGCUACAUUUCUAGUGAAUGAUAUGUUAUUCUACAUCUGUAUAUUGCAACUUUGACAAACUUGGCCUUUCCUUUGUUGAUUCACUCGUCUCACUUUUAUUAAAUUGCCCGAUUAUGAAAUGGUCUAUUGGAGACUAGCAUUGGAAGGUUUCUUCUGGAAAAAAUUUUACUUGACCGCCAAUUUUCAUUUGGGUGGGUGUCAGUUCAUGCUCUGGCUUGACUGUUCUGUUAUUUAGGUUGUUUUAUCCGUAUUUUCUUCACUUACUUGAUGGUUAGUUCUCUCAUGCUUUCAAGCUCUCAACAGUGAAUGCGAGAGAUUCUAUUUUUCCCGUCCAGUCUAUAACCUAGCAAAUCAUUAAUGCUGUAGAAUAACAUCUUGUGUAGGUGAGCUUAUGUCUCUGAACAUUGGUCCAUCGGCAUUUAGGUUCAAUAAGCAUGACACUGAUUUCCCCCCAAUUAUUAUUUUCCUGCACAGAUUAUCCCCUUUAAGUAUUUGAAUUUUGAAUAUAUUAUUAUGCAUCAAAACUGUAUCUAUCCGUGUAGCAUUUAAAUCUGCUUUAUGAUGUUUACCAAUAAUUACCCAUUAUGGGGUAUUUGAAUUUUGAAUAUAUUAUUCUGGACCAAAACUCUAUCUGUCCGUGUAGGAUUGGCUUCUGUGCUUGGCUGAGGAUGCUCCUGUGGAAGAUGUAAUCCCAAUUCUCGUGGCUGCCUUCCAUUGCCAACUGAACAUGCUCCGUUCUUACUGCAUCCAGAGAAUUGCAGGGUCAAAUCUUGACAAUCUUUGUCUCGAGAAAGAGCUUCCUGAUGAAGUUUCAAGAGAAAUCAAAUCACUCCGUGUCAAAUCUAACCAGGAGUCUGAAGCUAAUAUAGCAGAAGUGGAUCAUAAUCAUGCAAUAAUAGUCAGAAGAAUCCACAAGGCGCUGGACUCUGAUGACGUUGAACUGUUGAAGCUUCUUCUGGAUGUAUCUAAUGUCACUCUGGAUGAUGCUUACGCUCUGCACUAUGCUGCUGCCUACUGCAACCCCAAGGUUUUUAAGGAAGUGCUCAAUAUGGACUUGGCUGAUCUCAAUCUUAAGGAUGCAAGGGGACGUACAGUGCUUCAUGUGGCUGCAAGGCGUAAUGAGCCAGAAGUGAUGGUGACUCUGCUGAGCAAGGGAGCAUGCGCAUCAGAAACUAUAUCAGAUGGCCAAACAGCUGUAGAAAUCUGUCGGAGAAUGACAAGGCGAAAGGAUUAUCUUGAAGCUACAAAGCAGGGGCAGGGAACUAACAAAGACCAGUUAUGCAUUGAUGUCCUUGAGAGAGAGAUGAGAAGGAAGUCCAUGUCUGGGAACUUGGCAAUGCCAUCAGAGGUGAUGGAUGAUGAUUUCCAAGCGAAGCUGGACUAUCUGGAAAAUAGAGGUGAUAUUUCUUUACUGGUAUUAGUUCAUCACCUUCUCAGAGUUUGUGCUAUGCACACUUCUUUCUACUGUUUGUUUGUCCCUUCAUAUGGAAAAUAGAGGUGAUAUUCCUUUACUGGUAUUAGUAAAUCAUCUUCUCAAGAGUUUGUGAGUCCCUUCAUUUUAGCAUCUCAAACACACAUGGGCUCAUUGCUUGGGGCACACUGUUGGCCAGUCAUGUGAUUUGAUCCCCUUUUUUGGAAUAGACAAUUCUGAAUCCAUCUGAUCUAGGCUUGGUGGUUUGCACCGAACUGGUUUUUGAUAAAUAAUUGUACAAGACUUUGUCAUCAAAAACUUUUUUUUUUGUUUUUUUGUUUUUUGUUUUCCAAAAGUAAUGAGGUACAAAACAAUUUAUGCCUAUCCUGGAUGAGUGUCAUAACAGCUUCUUAAUAUUUUGCAGUGGCUUUUGUACGGUUGUUUCCUUCUGAAGCUAGAGUAGCUAUGGAAAUAGCAGGUACCGCCACUGGCCUUUCAGCAUUAGGUCAGAAAGGACUAAGUGGGAACUUAAAGGAGAUUGAUUUGAAUGAAACGCCCUCUAUGCAAGCCAAGAGCCGCCAAUUGAGACUGCUAACUCUGCUUAAAACAGGUAUUUAUAUACUUUAUUAACUUUUGCACCCUUCUAUACAUGUAUUAGUUAAUUAUAAAGAUAUUUAUAUACUUUAUUAACUUUUGCACCCUUCUAUUUACUGAUUAUCUUUAUAAUUAACUAAUACAUGUAUCCAGGUUUCUCCUUCCAAUUGGAAUUCCUUUAUAGUGCUCUGUUAGGUGUAAUCAGAUGUAUCAAAAGAGAAAGGGUAAUUGUUAGUACAUUGAUAUCUCAACAAAAUGGUAGAACCUUUCUUUAUACCACUAAGACAUUUGUCGCAGAUAUGCCUACAUAAUCAGUGUCCUUCAAAACUUUCAAGGAGUUAGCAAUGCCUAACCCCUGAAACACUAAAUCUCACGGGAUCAACUCUUUACAUCUAGACCGAAGGUGUGACACCCAGACCCAAUUAGGGCUUAGAACACAUAUUGAAUCUGAGUGAAACUAAAUGCCUGUAAAUCCAAAUCUCCAAAAUAUCAAAAAGUCAUCUACUUUCUCUUUUCAUGUAUUUCACAAAAUUUUGAAAAAUUCAUUCUCAAUCAUAAACUAUGCACAGCUAAUUAUUCAGCAUAUCAGUAUAGAGCAAUACUUCCUCAUAAGCAAAUAAAUCUUACAAUCCUUCUUACAUGAUUUUAAAAAAAAUACUAAUAGAAGUCUUCUAGAUACAAACAUAAACAGAAUUCAACUGUUUAAAACUAUGCCAAAACACAAGCUUCAAUCAGUAAUACAUACGACUAAUUAUUAAAAACAUCUAGGCAGAAACCUUACGAAAGCUCAAUCUUUCUGAAGCAUUCUUCAAAUUAAAAAUUGCUACCAUCUGUGAAAAAUAAUUGACAAGGAGUCAGCUGUGAACUCAAUCAGUAGAAACAUUCGUAAUGAACAAAAAGAAUUCUUUGUGCAAUAUUUUCAGAAAAUUCAUUUAACCUUUCAAAUGAAACAGAGUAAUUUUUCUAACACAGUCAGGAUUUAUAUAAAACACAAACGUUUCAGACAAAAGCUGUGCGGAAUGUAAAUUUUGCUUCUUUAAACAGAAAGUUAUAUAUUAGUUUGAUUUUAAAGGGAGGUUAUUGGGAAGUUAAAAUUGGCAGUUGUGGGAAAAGGGUAAUAGCAGUUAUAAAAUCUGUUUUAAAGCAAAUUCAAAUCAAGUUUCAAAUUUUAGGAGUACUUAAUUCAAUAAAAUAAGGAAUAAAUAAAGCUUUCAUUGAAACAAAACUAAGUAAAUUCAUUUAAAGCAAAAAAGGAUGGGAGCAUUACUAUGGGUUCUUAUGUUUACCCGCAGUCAGACAUCUGGGGACCUUGUUAUUUGGAGACAAGACUUGAUUGUGCCAUGUUUUCCGCAGCUAGACAUCUGUGGAUAAGAGAACCCUAAGCCUAUUUAGAAUAAAUUCUGUAAUCCAAGACUCUUCAGUUCUUUCAUUUGUGGCUAAUUAGUUAUAAAAUUUGUGAAUUUCAUGCCCCAUGCCCCUUGCAAAAUGCCAGUUGUUGAACUGAAAUAAUAAAAAAUGGAAAACAGACUUAAUGCCGAUAGCAUUUCUUAAGAAAAACUUGGGAUGUUUAUAAUUUUCUUAGAGCAUUUGCUGAACUUUCUGUGAUCGCAGUCGAGACGCGUGACCUCUACUUCCCUCAUUGCUCAGAAGUGGUUGAUCGCUUUUUGGAUUUGAACAAUCCUGCCACCCCAGAAAUGGACGACGAGAAACUUAAAGCAGACAUGCAGGAGGCAUUCUGCAAGGACGUGGCUUAUCACCGUCGUUUAGGGCUGCCAUCAUCCCGGCCGGCAUUUUACCAGUACACGGCUAGGAGCAAUCAGUCGGCAUUUUACAAGUACAUGGCUGAGAGCAAUCAGUCGGCCAAGUACGUGGCUGAGAGCAAUGGCUCAGGAAUGUCGACAUCCUCGGCAGCGCGCAAUCUAAAAGUUAUAUUUGACACCUGGAAAACUAAAGGAGUUGAGUGAGAUCGAUUGGUAUUUGUAGUUUCUUUUUUUUUUUCCUCAAGUGAUCUGGCGGCAUAAUUAAAAGUUAUAUUUGUUUGUCUUCAAAGUUAUUGUAUUGUCUCAAGUCCGGUAAGAUGCGCGAACUUAUAGCAUGGAUCCAUAUGAUCUGGACUAAACUAGUUUCUAAUAAAUAAGUAUAUUUUACAGUACUGAUUUUCCUACAGAAAUUGGUUAAGGUGACAUUAAUGUUCUUUAUGAUAGACGGAUAUACAGAUUUUUCGUCGAAAUUGAAAUUAGAAAUGGAUGGAUAUGCAGAAUUUUUUAAUAGAAUUUUUAUACAAAAAUUUGUAGCUCAUUACCCUCUAAAAGGAAAAAAAUAAAUUUUUGAUUUUAAAUAUUAAAUAUUAAAUUUAUAAUAUAAUAACUUUGUGAGUUAAGGUGCACAAUACCCAUAUAUUAAUAAUUAAGAAAAGAAAAAAAUUAAAAUUUGUAAAUUACCAAUUUUUUCUUGAAAUUUGAUAUUCUAUAUUAACGUAGGUGUUGCAUGGACUGGGUUAGUACAAUUGAAAGAAACUAACUAAAGUAAAACAAAAUAUCAUUAAAAUAUGGCAAGCUUCUCAUAUUUUUUAAGUGAAAAAGAGAAGAAAACUAAAAUUAAUUAUUUUUAUACCCAAAUUCUAGUGCUUGAAGGCCGCUGGAAUUGACCAUUGUAGUUUUGUCAUCCUCAUUAUUCACCGGCCAUCGUGGCCUUCCUCCAUUAAAAAAAUAAAUGACCAUUUUUUUGGACCACAACAUAUUAAAAAUAGUAUUGAUUAAUACUAAUAAAUCUCUUUUUUGAUUAUUUUGCAGUGUGAUAGUCGAGUGAGGGCAGUGCCCAUCGUAGCACUUGAACAUGUGGUAAAUUUAUGCCAGUCUUUGUAAAAUAAUUUUUAAAUUAUGUAUUAACCAGAUAGCUCAAUGAAAACUAUCGCUCACUAAAUUAUUACUUUAUUUUGUAUAUAUUUAUGAUAAUUGUUGAAAAGAAAAAUGUAAAGUGAGAUUAACGAACGUUUAUGAAUGUGGAAAUUAACACAACCAAGAUUUAUGAUGAAAUAAUUUUAAGUCAAAUGAGCAUAAAUUUGUAUAAAUAUUUUUUGAAUUGUCAUAUAUAUACAAGUUUGUCACUAAUAGUAAACUUAAUUAUGAGUAUUUUAAUAAUUCAAAAUUUUAUUUAACCAUCGGUGUAUAUAGUGUUUUUCAUAAUACAAAAUUAUAAAAAGUCUCAUCCUGAAUAGUAUAAUGCCAAACCUUUUCAAAAAUUUAUUCUAUUAUAGUCGUCUUAGUCAGUUAUAUUUAUUUCUAAAUUGAAGAUAAAAACAGUACUUCAUAUAUCAUCCAUUACUUCAUACAUUACUUAAAGUUUUUUUUUUUUUCAAUCAAAUUAUGAGCAAGUGAAAGGAUGCAAUAAAUUACGACUAAAAUUGUAAAAUUUACCAAUGGCUAUAUACAAAGUCUGAUUCUCAUGAGCUUAAAAGAUGGGCUUUGAAUGAUGUAUGGUUCUCAAAACUCUACUUUUAUUAAUAUGAUUGCCCUGCUUCCUUCAUGACGGGUAAUUUUUAGUUUCGUCCCCUGAAGUUUGGUUUAUCUCCAUUUUAAUAGGAAAUAUUAGCGUAUCUCCCACUUUUCUCCCCUGCCGUUUGUAUACCGUUUCAUAUUGUUAAUGGACGAAGCUACAAGUCUUCUCUUUCAUCAAAUCGAUCCAUAACAAAUACGAGUCUGCUUCACCUAACCAAAACACACACAUACUCCAUCUCUAAAUGCUUUGAAGAUAAACAAAUCAACCGUAAUCCUGCAACUUUAGCUCAGAGAAUCGGAUAAGAAAAGAACAGGUGAUGAAUCAAGGGUAAUGGCGCCGAGUGAGUGUCGCCUGCGGUCGGCGUUAGAGGCGACUGUCACUCAAUCGCGUACAAGGUUAGUCUUUGAAAAAACUCUUUGCAUGUUAGAAAUCAGUGAUUAGGCAUUAUUUUGUUAUUUAAAAAUGAAAAUGGGUUUAUUAGUUUGUCGAAGAAUCUGCUCUGUUGCCGGUGUUGUUUGUUGAUUAAAAUGAAAAUGGGUUUGUUGAUGUGUUGAAGAAGUUGCUCUCCUGCUGGUGUUUUUUUAUUAAUUAAAAUGAAAAUGGGUUUGUUAAUUUAUUGAAGCAGCUGCUGGCAUUGUUAUUGUGACUUUAUUUAUCCAAUUGAUGAGCUUAUGAGCUAAUAGUAUUGUUUGAUCAAGCUUGUGUUCUUAAUAGUGGAGUUGAUAUUCUUAAAAUGAAUUUAUGAUUAUGAGAAUAUGAAAAUUGAAUGGCAUCGUAGAGAUCUGGAUUAAUCACCAUCGUAUAUGUUUCUAAAUAAAGGAAUAAGCAGCAACCGAUUUGAAAGUUAAGACUUUAGGGAUAUGUAUGUGCAACUGAAUGAAUCAUCAGUUGCUAUCUUGUAAGUCAGUGCUAGCAUAUUACCUAAUGGCAAGUGAAGCUAUUUUAUGUGUAUUGCUGCCUAUCAAAAUGUUUAUGUUUGAAGUUUUCUCCUUUUGGGAAAUUGAAUGCUUCUGUGAGUUCUCUGGUAAGGGCUAUACAACUAUCUCUAAUAGAUUCCUUCAUGUGCAUUAAUUAGCUUAGUAGUUUAUUGACCUAUAUCCAAUGUCUAUUCUCCUUUUCUGUAGCCGUCUAGUUUUAUGAGUGUGUGAAGUGAACUUUUGUUUUAUGUUUCAGGACUUGGGAUUAGAGUGUAUAACAUUCAAUAUCUUUAUAUCAAAGAACUGAUAUAUGUCAAUGUAGUGCGAUCUGGUCUUUAUUAGCUUCUUGAUUUGCCAGGAUGUUUGACAACCAUCUUUGACCAUGAUUGCCAACAUAUAAGCUGCUACAUAGUGUCUCAGGAAUCACAGCAAAUUAUUAUCAUAAUAUGGUGAUUUUGAAUCCAAAACUUGGUAGUGUCAAGAAAAUAGACCCAUGUUUAUUUAUCUUCAUGUUUUGUAUGCGCCUGCAAUAGACUAUUAUAAGUUACUUUUAGUUUUAUCAAGUUUUUUUUUCCUUAAAUUUCAUCGAGUCUUGGAGUCUUUGUAAUAUAGAGUCUAAGUGAAGAAUACUUGGGUGAAAUCUUGUAUUCUCUCUUCCAGUAAUAUAAUCAUCCUUUGUGUUUUUAUCUUUUUAUUUUGGUAUCAGAGCAUACUUUAUUAUAGAAGGACUUAGACUCUAUAUUACAAAGACUCAGCGGUUUCUUUUAACUGAGUUAAUAGUGUUGUUAGGUUAAACUAAGUUUGGCUUCAUAAGAUUCAUAGUAGAGUGUAGAACUGGGUACAAUUUUGGGUUAGACAAGUCAAAAGUCUUCUCAAGUAAUUGUUCUGCUUACUGAUUUGGUAAUUGCAACAUUGCUAAAUAGUUCAAUUUGUCCUUUUAUUUUGUUGAAUUUAUUGUAUGUCAUAUUACUUCAUUUAAUUAUUUUCUCAGAUCUUGUAGGUGAAAAUUUCAGCUUCAAAGGCCAAGCUAAUCAUCCAGCAAUUCAGUGAAACCAAGACACAGUGGCUCAUAAAUUGUUGUUGGUGAUCCAGCCAUUCGGGUGCUUGCCAGUCCUAGACGAGAAAACUUUCAACGCGGCGCAUAAAUUGUUGUUGAUCUACUUUAUAUAUUUUGACCUUUGUGAUUUGUGAAUACAUGGUUUGAUUCCAGUGUUUACAACUUUGAUACUGUGUAUAACUUAAAAAGCAAAUGAAACAAAUAGGAAAUGUGUUUUUAUUUUUUUUAUUCUAUCUAUCUAUUUAUAUUUUGUUUGGAAAUGUAACAAUUUAUAGCUGGCAAAGUACUAGAGUUGUAUACUUGUAUUUAAUUCAUUAUUAUUAUUUUUUUAAUGAUGACUCAGUAAUGUCGUUGUCCAUGGUGUUUUGUCAUUUUGAGAGUACUUAACCCUUGGACGCUAAGGCACAUUACAGUAGCCGAAAUUUUGAGCUUUCAGUUCUUGAUUUUAGCGUGAGGGGUAUCUUUGUCGUUUCAGUUGUCAACAAACAAUUUGUUGGGGGGGGGGGGGGGGGGGUGGAGAUACGCUGAUACUUUCUAUCAUACUGGAGAUACACCUAACCUCAGGGAAGGAAACUGAAAUUUCACCUUUACGACGGGUGGACUUGGGUCAAACUUUCAUAUUCUAAUCAAGUAGGUCGAUCACGAUUCAAGCUUCAGUCAUAAGCCUUUCGUUAUGAUUGAUAUUAUUCUUUCUUGAUAGUAUCAUGGAAAAUGCAAACGAAAAGUCAGCAUCUUUGAGUUUUGUCUCAUCAUAUCCGACUUGUUGGUCUACUAAUCAAUCCACAGACCCUUGUGAUCUUGGUAAUUUGAACUUAAGGAGGCAAAGCAGCAAUCCUAAAGAGCCAUUGCUUGAUGCUGAGAUCGUUGUUGACGGCAAAUCAGUGGCAGUUAAUCGCAGCAUAUUGUCUGCACGCAGUCGUUUUUUUCAUUGGCUUUUUCAUUUGAGCAGUGAUGGUUCUGUGAGUGAGGGGAAACCCAAGUAUCUUAUGACUGAUUUGGUGCCUUAUAGGAAGGUUGGAUAUGAAGCUUUUAAUGAUAUCUUGCAUUAUCUUUACACUGGAAUGCGUAAGGCACCUCCUUCAGAAGUGUUCACGUGUGUUGAUGAUACUUGUGUUCAUCUUGUUUGCCCUCCUGCUAUUAAUUAUGUUAUUGAGUCGAUAUAUGCUUCUGCUGCUUUUAAGAUGACAGAGGUCGUUUCGGUUUAUGAGGUAGUUGCGCUUCCCCGCUACUUGUAUUGCUUAAAUUUAUGCUUAUUGGUAUAGUUUUAACAUAUGUGGGAUUGAAAUCAAUUUCAGUUGUGACUUGCAAAGAGCCAAAGAAUCUGUUGUUUUAUUUUGAAAGAGACAAAGAUGAUGAUGAUGGGCAGUGAACUCUAGGAAUCAAUGCUUGCUGACACUGACACCCAAGAAUGAUAAAAACUAACCAAAAAGGUAUAUAGAUUACAUGAGUCUGAAUUUGAUAAGUGCACCUAUCCUAUCACAAAAAGCUUUUGCGUUGAGUUUCGAACCAAGGAAAAUUGUCACUUCUGUCUGUAGGCUUCAUAGAUUUGUUCAAGCCUUCAAGGAUGUCUAGCUGUUACUUAGGGUCCAACAAUGGUGCUACAUUUCUAGUGGAUGAUAUGUUAUCUACAUCUGUAUAUUGGAACUUUGACAAACUUCGCCUUUCCUUUGUUGAUACACUCGUCUCACUUUUAUUAAAUUGCCUGAUUAUGAAAUGGUCUAUUGGAGACUAGCAAUGGAAGGUUUCUUCUGGAGAAAAUUUUACUUGCCACCAAUUUUCAUUUUGGUCGGUGUCAGUUCAUGCGCUGGCUUGAUUGUUCUGUUAUUUAGGUUGUUUUAUCCGUAUUUUCUCACUAUCUUGAUAGUUAGUUCUCUAAUGCUUUCAAGCUCAACAGCGAAUGCGAGAGAUUCUCUUUGUCCUGUCCAGGUUAUAACCUAGCAAAUCAUUAAUGCUGUAGAAUAACAUCUUGCGUAGAUGAGCUCGUGUCUCUGAACAUUGGUCCAUCGGCAUUUAGGUUCGAUAAGCAUGGCAUUGAUUUUCCCCCUCAUUGUUAUUUUCCUGCACAGAUUAUCCCCUUUAAGUAUUUGAAUUUUGAAUACAUUAUUCUGAAUCAAAACUCUAUACGUCCGUGUAGCAUUUUAUAUAUGCUUUAUGAUAUUUACCAAUAAUUACCCACUGCGAGGUAUUUGAAUUUUGAAUAUAUUAUAUAUUAUUAACUUUUGCACCCUUCUAUACAUGUAUUAGUUAAUUAUAAAGAUAUUUAUAUACUUUAUUAACUUUUGCACCCUUCUAUUUACUGAUUAUCUUUAUAAUUAACUAAUACAUGUAUCCAGGUUUCUCCUUCCAAUUGGAAUUCCUUUAUAGUGCUCUGUUAGGUGUAAUCAGAUGUAUCAAAAGAGAAAGGGUAAUUGUUAGUACAUUGAUAUCUCAACAAAAUGGUAGAACCUUUCUUUAUACCACUAAGACAUUUGUCGCAGAUAUGCCUACAUAAUCAGUGUCCUUCAAAACUUUCAAGGAGUUAGCAAUGCCUAACCCCUGAAACACUAAAUCUCACGGGAUCAACUCUUUACAUCUAGACCGAAGGUGUGACACCCAGACCCAAUUAGGGCUUAGAACACAUAUUGAAUCUGAGUGAAACUAAAUGCCUGUAAAUCCAAAUCUCCAAAAUAUCAAAAAGUCAUCUACUUUCUCUUUUCAUGUAUUUCACAAAAUUUUGAAAAAUUCAUUCUCAAUCAUAAACUAUGCACAGCUAAUUAUUCAGCAUAUCAGUAUAGAGCAAUACUUCCUCAUAAGCAAAUAAAUCUUACAAUCCUUCUUACAUGAUUUUAAAAAAAAUACUAAUAGAAGUCUUCUAGAUACAAACAUAAACAGAAUUCAACUGUUUAAAACUAUGCCAAAACACAAGCUUCAAUCAGUAAUACAUACGACUAAUUAUUAAAAACAUCUAGGCAGAAACCUUACGAAAGCUCAAUCUUUCUGAAGCAUUCUUCAAAUUAAAAAUUGCUACCAUCUGUGAAAAAUAAUUGACAAGGAGUCAGCUGUGAACUCAAUCAGUAGAAACAUUCGUAAUGAACAAAAAGAAUUCUUUGUGCAAUAUUUUCAGAAAAUUCAUUUAACCUUUCAAAUGAAACAGAGUAAUUUUUCUAACGCAGUCAGGAUUUAUAUAAAACACAAACGUUUCAGACAAAAGCUGUGCGGAAUUUAAAUUUUGCUUCUUUAAACAGAAAGUUAUAUAUUAGUUUGAUUUUAAAGGGAGGUUAUUGGGAAGUUAAAAUUGGCAGUUGUGGGAAAAGGGUAAUAGCAGUUAUAAAAUCUGUUUUAAAGCAAAUUCAAAUCAAGUUUCAAAUUUUAGGAGUACUUAAUUCAAUAAAAUAAGGAAUAAAUAAAGCUUUCAUUGAAACAAAACUAAGUAAAUUCAUUUAAAGCAAAAAAGGAUGGGAGCAUUACUAUGGGUUCUUAUGUUUACCCGCAGUCAGACAUCUGGGGACCUUGUUAUUUGGAGACAAGACUUGAUUGUGCCAUGUUUUCCGCAGCUAGACAUCUGUGGAUAAGAGAACCCUAAGCCUAUUUAGAAUAAAUUCUGUAAUCCAAGACUCUUCAGUUCUUUCAUUUGUGGCUAAUUAGUUAUAAAAUUUGUGAAUUUCAUGCCCCAUGCCCCUUGCAAAAUGCCAGUUGUUGAACUGAAAUAAUAAAAAAUGGAAAACAGACUUAAUGCCGAUAGCAUUUCUUAAGAAAAACUUGGGAUGUUUAUAAUUUUCUUAGAGCAUUUGCUGAACUUUCUGUGAUCGCAGUCGAGACGCGUGACCUCUACUUCCCUCAUUGCUCAGAAGUGGUUGAUCGCUUUUUGGAUUUGAACAAUCCUGCCACCCCAGAAAUGGACGACGAGAAACUUAAAGCAGACAUGCAGGAGGCAUUCUGCAAGGACGUGGCUUAUCACCGUCGUUUAGGGCUGCCAUCAUCCCGGCCGGCAUUUUACCAGUACACGGCUAGGAGCAAUCAGUCGGCAUUUUACAAGUACAUGGCUGAGAGCAAUCAGUCGGCCAAGUACGUGGCUGAGAGCAAUGGUUCAGGAAUGUCGACAUCCUCGGCAGCGCGCAAUCUAAAAGUUAUAUUUGACACCUGGAAAACUAAAGGAGUUGAGUGAGAUCGAUUGGUAUUUGUAGUUUCUUUUUUUUUUUCCUCAAGUGAUCUGGCAUAAUUAAAAGUUAUAUUUGUUUGUCUUAAAAGUUAUUGUAAUAUCUAAAGUCCGGUAAGAUGCGCGAACGUAUAGCAUGGAUCACAAACUCAUUUCAUAGAAUAUUUUUUUGUAUAAUUAUAUAAUUUAUAGGCUUUGCUUAAAAAAUUAAAAAAGAAUUGCAUUACAAUUGGUAUGAGGCAUGCAUGUGUGUGUCAUAUCAGUUGCUGAACAAACUUUGCCUUUUAGUUUUGUAGGCACUACCAUCUCAAAUUCUCUGUUAUCAUGAAUGAGUAUUUUUUUCUUUUUUCUUUUUUAAGAAAUCAUAAAUGAGAUUAAGAUAAUUUUUUUUAAAAAAAGAAAAAAAUGGAGAUUUCUUUUAUUUUUCCUUAAAAACUGAAGAAAAAUUUAGAUGGUAGUGUGAGACGGAGAAUUAAAGCAAUUUUACUAACAAAUGUAAUGUGUUUGGUGUCGCAAUACAAAUUAAUAAAUUAUAAUUUAUGAGACUAGUUUGCAUAAUCUUAUAUAUAAAAUUAUAUCCUCUGAAUAAAAAUCUUCUCACCUCUUUUGACUUUUCAUUUAAAUAUCCUCUCUAGAAUCUCUCUGACCAUAAACACAUUUUUACAAAACAAAACAGAAGAAAUUAUAUAUAAUUCUCACAAGGACUAUUUCAUUUGCACAUAGUACGCAAUUGGUCACUAAAGUUAUUUGAGGAGAAAAUUUACAUGAGAUGGGUACAUCCUAUUAUCAGUAUUUUAAUUUAAGUUUGAACAUACUAGAAUGGUCUCUCAUAAAUUUUUCUCCAAUUUGAGAGAUGGUGGGGAAGUGGGGUUAAAGUGCAUCUGCAUAGAAUUAAUUAUAAUUAAAUUUAUUUUUUAAAACUAUUUUAACUAGAAGUAGUAGUAAUUCUUUUUAUUAUUGUUAUUCCAAUUAUAUCAAAAUCUAGUGACUCGUGAUCAAAUUAAGUAGUUCAUUAAACUUUUUUAGGUGACGUAUGGUAUGGAGUUUUUAUAAAUCUAUAAAUAUAGUAAAAUAUUUAAUUUUGCUUGUCGUAAACUUUUAAUUUGCAUGGGUUAAAAAAGAAAAACUAGCGAAAAGUUUGUGCGCAGAGAGCCAGAGAAAACUAGCGGCCGCUGUUAAGCAAAAAGUUAAAAGUUGAACCCCAUGCAUGAAAGCUCCGAAAAUAUCGGACGUGGCGAAAACCCUAUUUUCGGAGGGACUUUUUCUCCGCCGUUUAGGGAGGCUAGAACAACCAAAAAGGCACGGUUUCGUGAUGAGGAAGUAGCUGGUGACAAUCCUAUGCAGGUUUCGUACAAAGAAACCCUGGUGAACUCUUCGCAAGCAAUGGAGAAUGGUUUUGGAGGCGGAGCAGUGGACUGGGAUUUUGAGGAAGGAGAUGUGAUCGAGAACAACGAUGGACCUAUGCCAUCAAUAGCUUUCUCGGCUAGGGUCCAUGAGAAGUUGAGUGAACCGCGGAAGAAUUCUGUCGUUGUGAAACUACUUGGCCGAACAAUAGGCUAUAGGGCUCUCUGCACAAGAUUGAAUGUAAUGUGGAAAACAACCAUGAGUUUCUCAGUGAUUGAUUUAGAGAAUAACUAUUUUUUGAUUCGCUUCCGCUCAAGUAGUGAUGUUGUUGAUGCUCUAACUAAUGGGCCUUGGCUUAUUAUGGGGCAUUACUUAACGGUACAACCAUGGACACCCAAUUUCGAUUUCACCAAAACGGCUAUUGAUCAAGUCACUGUAUGGAUUCGUUUACCUGGUCUUGCUGUCCACCUCUAUGAUCGGAAAAUGCUGCAAAAGCUUGGACAAUUGGUGGGUACGGUGAUCAAAAUUGAUGUGAAUACAGCCUCCUCUACACGGGGACGUUUUGCCCGAGUUGCAGUCACAAUCUCUUUGGCUAACCCGCUAGUGUCUCAGUUUGAACUGGAUGGGAAGGUCCAGAAGGUGGAAUAUGAGGGAUUGCCAGUGAUCUGCUUUAUGUGUGGAAGGUAUGGACAUAACAGAAAUACUUGCAAGGAAGCUGGUGCAGCGAAUGAAGCUGAAAAUGCCCCCCAGCCUACUAUGCAACGUCAGGAGGUCCCUGCUCAUCAGGAGUUUGGCUGUCAUGAUGCUAGUAUUGUAGAACCCUUUGGCACUUGGAUGAUCGUCACGAGAAAAGGCAGGAGAACUAACAAUGGCAUGGAGAAUAACAGUGAGCUAAACCGGAACCGCGAGCCUUUUGGGGCUAGCACUUCAAGAUUCCACAUUCUAGCUCAAGUCUCAGAUGAGCGUGAGGAUCAUGCCCCUGCAGUGGUUAAGGAUAUCCCCUCCACUUCACGUCAACCACUCAUGCCUACCCUGAACCCUACUUUUACCUCCCAUCAAGAGACCAUAACAAGGACCUCGGCAAGGCGUAAACCUCAUAAUAAGGCUGUGGUUACAAAACCUCGAGGUAGGAAACCGGCCACCUCAAUGAAUCCAUUCCAAAACCCCUUUCAGUCGAGUGUUUUUACCACAAGCAAGAAGGAUGUAAACUCCACACCCCAUGCAAACCUUAAUCCCACAUCAUUUGUAACUUCACAGUUUGAACCUGGUCAUCAACAAGUUUCCCACCUUGCUAACACCUUAGACCCAACGAAGCAUACUGUGGUCUUUUGCUCACCACAAACCUUUCCAUCGGGGAAUGUAAGGGAUGCGGCCAUUGAGCAUAGAGCUCGGCAGGGACCAGACCCUCAACAUACAUCUACUUGCCAGACGCUCGAAACACAUCAUGUGUUAAUGAAGUUGAGAAUGCCCAUACACACCCUGAGCAGCCUACGAGUGGAGUUGAUGAGGCUGGAAUGUUGGAUGAAGAAGAAUCAAUGGUUCAAGAAACGCUUAUGGCGUUGAUGGCUGAUAUUAAUGAUCAGCAAAACUAAGGUUUCUAUCAUCCCCUACUGAAAUUUUUUAUGUCAAUUAGCAUCAUGUAUUGGAAUGUUCAAGGGGUGGCCUUGACUACUUUUCGCCACUCUUUUAAGACUAUUGUUAAAAAUUAUAAUCCUUCUCUGGUGGUAUUGAUGGAACCUCGUAUUAGUGGGGGUAAAGCAGAUGAGUUUAUUAAGAAAAGUGGUUUUGACAACUCUCAUCGUGUGGAAGUAGUAGGCUUCUCUGGAGGAAUUUGGCUGCUCUGGCAGAAUGUUAUAGAGGUGGAGGUUCUUUUAAAUCACAAGCAAUUUAUUCAUUUCAGGAUUAGCAUGAAUAAGGUAUUUAUGUCUUGGGCAACGGCUGUCUAUGCUAGCCCAAAUCCAAUGUUGCGGAGAUAGUUAUGGAAUCAUAUGGAUAGCCUUGCUCUCUCUAUCCAAGGACCUUGGCUGAUUGGUGGGGAUUUCAAUUCUAUAUUGUACGCUUCUGAAAAACAGGGGGAGCUGCAGGGCAGUCAGGAGUGUGUGGCUUGUUUCGGCAGUGGUUUGAUGGACACCAAAUCUUUGAUUUAAAGUUCAAAGGCCCUCAAUCUACAUGGUCUCGUGGUUUUCUUUUCAAAAGGCUAGAUAAAGCCUUAUGCAAUAAUGAGUGGUUAUUAAAGUUUGCAGAUAACUCAGUUCUCCAUCUUCCGAAAGUUGCUUCGGAUCACAGACCGGUGCUAGUUCAGUUUGAGAGAGUUGUACGGAGACAUCAUGGUAAUAGGCCCUUUCGGUUUUUGGCUUAUUGGUUUACUAAUGAUCAUUUUAAUAAUUUUGUUAAGCAGACGUGGGAUCCUCAAGCUUCUUAUAGUGAUGCGGCAUCUAUUUUUGUCAAGGAGGUUCAAGUUUGGAAUCGGGAGGUUUUUGGGAAUAUUUUUCAGCGAAAACGUAUCUUAAUGGCUCGGAUUAAUGAGAUUCAAGCAACCUUGGAGAAAUCUAGUUCGAGGGGGUUAAUGCGCUUAGAGGCUUAGUUGCGGAAAGAUUUGGAGAUGGUGAUGGGGCAAGAGGACAUUCUUUGGUGGCAAAAAUCGAGAAAGGAUUGGAUUAUGCAUGGGGACAGAAAUAUUAGGUUCUUUCACCAAAAAACUAUUGUUCGCAGGCGGCGGAAUAGAAUUGAAGCCAUCCAGGACAAUUCGGGCAAUUGGUUGUACAAUGAGGAAGAAAUCCGAAAUCAUACAGUUGGGUAUUUUUCUGCCUUAUUCACAAGUGAGGCUGCAAGUCCCCAAGUUUAUCUUGUUCCGAAUUAUUUCCCAACUCUGGAUGCUUAUGAUAUCGAUUGUGUUGCCAACCCAGUUUUGGAAGCAGAAAUCAAGAAUGUCGUCUUUAGUAUGAAACCGCUAAAGGCUCCAGGUACGGAUGGGUUGCAUGCUAUUUUCUACCAGUCUCAAUGGGCAGUGGUUUGGCCUUCCUUCUGUAAGUUUAUUGCUGACAUUUUUAACUCUGGUAAGAUUCCUAAAGAGGUCAAUACUACUCUUCUGGUAUUGAUCCCUAAAGUGGAGCAUCCUACUAGCUUAAAAAUGUUCAGACCUAUCAGCUUAUGUAUAGUCGCCUAUAAAACAGUGACUAAAAUAAUUACUAACCGUUUGCAAGUCGUGCUGCCUAAAAUUAUAGGCCCUCAUCAGACGAGUUUUGUUCCUGGCCGCCACAUCAUAGAUAAUAUUGUUGUUGCCCAGGAAGUGGUCCAUACUAUGCAACGAAAAACAGGUAAGCGAGGGCUUAUGGCUAUCAAGGUAGAUCUCGAGAAGGCGUAUGAUCGGCUCAAUUGGUCUUUUAUCUUCGAUACUCUUCAGCUGACUGGCAUUCCGAUUCAAUUAUCUAGGCUCAUCAUGGAAUGUGUUACUACAGCUAAAAUGAGCAUUUUGUGGAAUGGAUAGGCUAUGGAGGAAUUUUCUCCGGGGAGAGGAAUCCGACAGGGAGAUCCCCUGUCUCCCUAUAUUUUUGUGCUUUGCAUUGAGCGGUUGAGCCAUGGUAUUUCCCAAGCUGUGAGGGAAGGCAGUUGGAAACCAAUCCGGUUGGCCAAACGGGGAACUCCCCUAACACAUUUAUUUGUUGCUGAUGACUUACUUUUAUUUGCAGAAGCCUCAAUUAAUCAAGCUUAUAUCAUUGACGCAGUUCUGGAGAAUUAUUGUCGGAGCUCUGAAACAAAGGUUAAUAAAUCAAAAACCAAAGUCUUUUUCUCUAAAAAUGUGUUAUCUAGAGAUGCCCAGCUUAUUAGUGACGCCUUGGGAUUUUCGGCUACUAAGGAUUUAGACUGUUACCUUGGCAUGCCUCUAAUCCAUUCGCGGGUGAAUAAAGCUACUUAUCAGUCCAUUCUGGAUAAGGUGGACAUGCGGCUUACUGGAUGGAAUGUGGCUAAUUUAUCCUUUGCUUGAAGAGUAACUUUGGCUCAAUCGGUGGUUCAAGCAAUGCCCAUUUAUGCAAUGCAAACAACUUUGCUUCCCCCCCGAUGCGUCAUAAAAUUGACACGACUUGUCAUCGGUUUAUUUGGGACGGGAAGUCGAAGAGGCACAAGAUGAGUAUGGUGGGCUGGGACAGAAUUUGUAUGCCAAAGAAUCAUGGGGGUCUGGGGUUUAAAAAGCUAGAUGUGUUGAACCAUGCACUGCUGAUGAAGCUGACCUGGGAAGUUGUAUCUAACUCGGACAAAUUAUGGGUGAAGGUGUUUUGUUCUAAAUAUGGGUUGGAUCCUGGAAACUUACCGCUCUCUCUCCUAGAUAAACAAUGGUCCCGUAUUUGGAUGGCUAUCAGGAAAACGUGGGCAGACACCAUGCAUGGAGCCCGCUGGUCAGUUUGUGAUGGUGUGAGAACUCGGUUUUGGCUUGACUGCUGGGUAACGAAGCAAGAACCUUUGAUAAAUUUUGCCCUCCAGCCGAUCUCUCACGAGAUUAUUAAUGCUACUGUGAGUGAGUUUAUAAACGAACACAGGGGCUGGAACUGGCUGAGAUUUGAACAUUUGCUGCCAAAUUACAUCCUCAUAUUGCAUCAGUUAGGCACUGACAAAAUUUACUGGAGUUUUGAUCCAAGAGGUGUGUUUACUGUCCGUUCAGCCUACGACUCCAUCUAUCGUCAAAACCUAGCCAUCCAAGAUGAAGCAUGGAGCUUAGCAUGGUCGUGGAAGGGACCCCAAUCUAUCCGCCUUUUUCUUUGGCAAAUUAUGCAUGGGAAGUUGAAGACUCAUGGUGAGCUGUCUCGGCGUCACAUUCCCGUGUCUAUGGCUUGUGAUAGGCGUGGGGCAUUGGUUGAGGACAUUCUACAUGCAUUGAGAGAUUGCCAUUGUAUUAAACGGGUUUGGCUGCGACUUGUUCCAGAGGGUGAUUAUCACUCUUUCUUUCACAUUAAUUUACGGGAUUGGAUUGUAGUUAAUCUUCAGAACAAGUUAAAGUUCGUUUCCCACAUUCAUUGGGAGUGUGUUUUUGGAGUGGCCGUUUGGAGAUUAUGGUUCUGGAGAAAUCAUUUCAUGGUCGAAGGAAAAUUGGUGGAUAGCUCAGCAAUUAAUAUGGAUAUUAUGGCCAGAGCAAAUGAAAUUCAUAGAGUGAAUAAUUCUCACAUGAGUCAGCAACCGAGGAGAAAAGAGAUGCUUAUCGGCUGUCAGCCUCCUCCAUGGCCUUGGUGUAAGUUAAAUACGGAUGGAUUUGUUAGAAAUUCAUGGGAUGUAGGGGCUGGUGGUGUUAUUCGUGAUUCAGUUGGUCACUGGAUUUCGGGAUUUUGUAUGAAUAUUGGGGAGUGUUCGGUGGUUAUGGCUGAGCUAUGGGGUCUAUAUCAAGGUUUAAUCCUGGCGUAGGAUGCUGGCAUAAAACGUCUUUUGGUGGAAGUGGACAGUCUGUGUGUUUCACAGAUGAUUUCUAAGCAGGUGGUCGUGCCUAAUGCUUUUUAUGCUCUAGUUGUUGCUAUCCCGAAACUUCUAAGCAGGAACUGGCAAGUUUCCCUCACUCACAUCUUUCGUGAAGCGAAUUCAACUGCGGAUUUCAUGGCUAAUAUGGCUUAUUCAGUCUCUCAUGGGUUACAUUUAUUUACUAGCCCGCCUGUGGUUAUUUAUUUAAUUAUAUUGCAAGACAUGUUUGGGGUUGCUCAACCCCGUAUUGUUCCGGUUUAGCUCGAAUUUGAGCCCAUUUUAAUCAAAAAAAGAAAAAGAAAAAAAGAAAUUGACUUAUUAAUUAAUUAACAAUUAUAGAAAGAAUAAAUAGAAAAUUAUAAUGGCGAACCUUGCUUGUUCUUUGCCUCUUGGGCUUAUGGUGUACCCUUGUCCCCCGCUGGGGGUUUCAUCCAUUCUUCUGUAUGAUUCUUACGGGGUUGCGACUCCUCGUUCGGUUGUUUUUUAGCUCUUAAUUGAGCCCCAGUUGAUCAAAAAAAAAAAAAAAAAAUUAUAGUUGCGUGAGAAAACUCUCGUGAAAAGGGCUCCGGAUUUCCUUUCCCUGGCUUCGUGCGUUUCCUUUUGCCCUUUCGAGCACGAAUUCGAAUCCAGUACUUUAUAAUAAAGAUAUAAUAUUAAAAAAUAAGAAAAAGAAUCCAAAUUUUUACUGGUAUAUAACGCAGAGCCAAAGCGAUAGCAAAACAUCAAAUUGUUUUUAUUUCAACCUUCGCGCAACUUCCGGUGACAUAAUUUUUAUCUGUUUCAGGUAUCGUUCUUGUUUUUUUGUUAUUCAUUCACAUAUCCUUCUUUUCUUUUCUUUUUUGCUGUAUUUUGUUUAUGAAACGCUCUGUUUCAGUUUUGUUUCUGGUUUUGUUUCAGUUUAACAUUAUUGGUUCGGUUCUGUUCUACGUCGUAUGUAUAUAUGUAUAUAUUUUUGGCCUCGAAUUGCUUUGAUCACCGGUUUUGUUAUUCAUUUAUCGUGAAUUUUAGAUGACUUGUUUGGCCAUGUAUUCACUUGAUUAUUACAUUCAGCUGCCAUUUUCAUGGUGGGUUUGUAAGAUAGUCUCUGACUAGCAUACGACAUUGAUCAUGAAUGAUGGUUUUGUUAGAUACAUCAUACGGAUGUUAACUCGUAUUAUUGUGUACUUACUUCAUUCAAAAGAUUAGUGUUUCUCUCUCUCUCAAUUUUUUUAAGAAAAAAAAUGAAAUGCCCCUUUUCGCAUUUUAUAGGUGAAAGGAAGAAACAUAAUAUCGCAGUGUCAAGGAAGCUCAUAAUGUAUGGAAGGAUGCAGCACACGUGUGAGAUGAAUACAGUCAGCUGAAGUUAGUUAGACACGUUAAGAUCAUAUUCAAUUAGCUUCUUUAUUUUCUGUUAAGUUGUAAACAGCUGAGUAUAAAUACAAGCAUCUUGUAAUCAUUUCGUUGUUAAGAAAAAUGAAAUAAAGCAUUUGAUUCAGAAGUCUUUUACAAAUUUUCUUAGCACUUUAAAUACAUUUUCUCAGUAACCAAACAGUCUGUUCAUUCAAGCUUUUAAGCUUUCAAACAUGGUAUCAGAGCCAUACAGAGCUAGUUCCAGUAAUCAACAGUCAAGCUUUCGUAAUCAAACAACAAACAACACAAAUCAAUCUACUCAAAUCAACUUCUCCUUUACUAAUCCUAUCAAGCUAGAUCGAUCAAAUUACUUACUCUGGCGCUUUCAAGUUUUAGCCUCAAUAAGAGGCAAUCGUUUGGAAGAUUUCGUCACAGGAGCCAAAUCAGUACCUGAUAAGUGUCUUCUGUUAACUGAAGUAGAUGGAUCUACACAACAAAUUGAAAAUCCAGAAUAUCAGAUCUGGAGAUCACAGGAUCAGACACUUCUUGGCUGGCUACUGUUGUCAUUAAGUGAAGGUAUCUUAAGUCUUGUUAUCAAUUGUGAAAGUUCAUUUGAUAUAUGGAAAACUUUGGAAAAGAAAUUUGGAGUUCAAUCUGAAGCUCGAGUUCUUCAGCUCAGAUAUGAACUAAACACUCUUAAAAAGGAAGCUCUUAGUGUUUAAGAUUAUUGUAUUAAAAUGAAAGCAAUAACUGAUAAGCUAGCCAGUGCUGGUAGUUCAAUUACAGAGAAGGAUCUUAUGUUAACUAUUCUUAAUGGAUUAGGACCAGGAUUUCGUGAUAUUGCUACAUUUAUAACUGGUUCACGAAUGGAAUUUGAUGAUGCUUAUGCACUGUUACUCACUCAUGAGACUAGAUUAGAGCAGGAGAAAGGUGACAGAAGUAUGUUUAAUGCAAACUAUGCAUAUACGAAUGCAUAUUAUCCUAGAGCUUAUUUUGCACAGCCUAGAGGAAGUUUUAAACGAGGAGGUUAUUCUGGUGGUAGAACUCCUUUCUUUGGCAGAGGAAAUAUGAAUUACUCUCCAAGAAUGUUUAAUGGAGGUGUUAGAAAUGGAUAUUGCAGAGGAUUUUUUCCUGGAAAUAACUCAACUGAUUUCAAUCAUUUUUCAGCUCCUAGGAAUCCAGUACCUAGGAACUCAUCCUUUCUAGCUAGAAAUGGUGCUAAUAUGAGUGGAUCACAAGGAAGCUUUAAUAAUGCUAGGGAGCUGGUAUGUCAGAUUUGCUUUAAGAAUGGUCAUACUGCUGAUGUCUGUUGGCACAGAUUUGUUGAAGACUUUGUACCUAUUCCAAGAGGUUUUGGCAGGGGAAAAACACCAAGAGCAGCAUAUUUCUCAAACUUUGAUGGCCCUACUUCUAAUCCAGAUUUUGGCUAUGAAAAUAAUAAUAUGUUUCCAGGUUAUGAUUCUAUAUCUGGCAAUAGUUACUAUUCUGGAAUGGAUGGAUACACUUCUGGAGCAGUUGGAACAGCUUUCAUGGCUAAUUUUGAAGGAACUGCUGAUGAUAGAUGGUAUCUGGAUAGUGUGGCAACUCACCAUUUAACCAACAAUAUGGAGAAUUUGCAGAUCAAUGAAGAGUUUAAAGGUACUGAUCAGCUUAUCAUUGGAAAUGGUCAAGGUUUGUCUAUUACUCAUGUUGGACAUGCAUUUCUGGUAUUAAGAGCUUCUAAAUCUUUAUCUAUACAUGCUAGAAUAACACUUAAAGAUGUGUUAUUUGUUCCUUCAAUUACCAAAAAUCUAUUAAGUAUUUCCAAACUCACAUCUGAUAAUCUUGUAUCUGUUGAAUUCUGUGGAAAUGUUUGUUUUGUAAAGGACAUGAAGGGUCAAGUUCUUCUGCAGGGUAUUGCUGAAAAAUGCCUUUACAAGCUGCUGCUGAAAUCUAAUUCUCUUUCUUCAUCACCUACAUCUUAUCUUUGUAAAUCCCAGCCAAAUAAACCAGUUUCUAUGUUAUCUGCUUUCAAACACUGUGAUAAUGGUACUCGAGCUUGCUAUCAAUCUGUUUUAAAUAAGUGUAAUGUCAAACCUGAUAUGAUAACUUUGUUACAUAGAAAGUUUGGUCAUCCAAGCUCAAUGACAUUGGUGCAUUUGCUCAAAUCAUGUAAACAGUUUAAAGUCUCUCCAAAAGACAUGUUAUCUUCUGCAAACACUUUAUGUGAAGCAUGUCAGCUAGGCAAAGUCCAUAAGCAACAUUUCUCAAUAACUGAAACAAAAACAAAAGGGGUAUUAGAAUUGAUUCAUACUGAUCUUUGGGGGCCUUCACCCACUGUGUCUAGAGAUGGAUACAAAUACUACAUUAGUUUUGUGGAUGAUUAUACUAGGUAUUCUUGGAUCUAUCCUCUUAAGCUCAAAUCACAAGCAUUUGAAGUUUUUAAAUUGUUCAAAACUCAAGUUGAGAAUCAGUUUGAUACCAAAAUUAAGAAGCUACAAUCUGACCUUGGGGGAGAGUUUAGAGCAUUUACUGAUUUUCUGAAUCAAAAUGGAAUAAUGUUUAGACACUCAUGUCCUUACACUCAUCACCAAAAUGGUUUUGUUGAGAGGAAACACAGGCAUAUAGUUGAGCUAGGCUUAACCCUCAUGGCUCAAGCAAACCUUCCUCUUCAAUUCUGGUGGGAACCUAUUCAUACAGUAGUGUAUCAUAUUAAUAGAUUGCCUACCCCUGUUCUGAAAUUCUUAUCUCUUUAUGAGAAACUUUUCAAACACAAACUAGAUUACACAUUCCUGAAGUGUUUUGGUUGUCUUUGCUACCCAUACUUGAGAGAUUUUAACAAACAUAAGUUUGAUUUUCACACCUCUAAAUGCAUUUUUAUUGGAUACAAUCCCUCUUAUAAAGGAUACAAGUGCUUAGCAAGUUCUGGCAAAGUCUAUGUUCUUAGACAUGUCAUUUUUGAUGAAAACACAUUCCCUUAUCCAAUAAACACUACAUCUCACACAUCAGAAAACUCCAUAUCUUCUGAAACCUCAGUGUCUAAUUUCUCUCAACAACAUAUCUAUCAUCUUUCUACAAUGGCCUUACCCAACAGCAGCUUUGAAGGUCUUCAAUCAGCAGGCUCAGCAAGAAGUGAACAAAUGUCCUCUGUUCCCACACAUACAGAUAUUCUGAAUCAACAAGAACAUCCAUCACACACAUCUUUAGAGUUAUCAUCCUCAACCUCACCAUCACCAAACACAUUACCAGUACAAUCAUCCAUUCUACAAUCAGAGGAAACUUCUAUUCCACAGAACAUAGACCAAAUUCAAACCAGAAAUCAUUCCCAACCAUCUUCUCAUCCAAUGAUUACCAGAUCAAAAUCUGGAAUCUUCAAACCAAAGGUCUAUACAGUCACCUUAGCCAACAAAGAACCUAGUACAGUUCAAGAAGCUCUUAGUAGUCAGAAUUGGCAUCAAGCCAUGGUAGAUGAGUAUGCAGCUUUGAUAAAGAAUGAGACUUGGUCACUGGUACCAUUUUCAAAUGCAUACAAAGUAGUUGACAAUAAAUGGGUGUUUAGACUUAAGCAAAAUACUGAUGGAAGCAUAGUUAAACACAAGGCCAGGUUGGUUGCCAAAGGUUUUCAGCAAACUGAAGGUGUGGAUUACUUUGAGACCUUUAGCCCAGUUGUAAAAGCUUCAACAGUAAGGAUUGUUCUGAGUUUAGCUGUGAUGCAUAAAUGGAAAAUAAGGCAAGUGGAUGUGAAUAAUGCAUUCUUGAAUGGAGACUUGACAGAGGAUGUCUAUAUGUAUCAGCCUGAAGGUUUUAUUGAUCAACAAAAACCCAAUCAUAUAUGUAAGCUGAAGAAGGCCUUGUAUGGCUUGAAGCAAGCUCCUAGAGCUUGGUAUGACAAGCUUAAGAAUUGUCUUAUUGCUAAUUGGAAAUUUCAGAAUUCAAAGGCUGAUACCUCUCUCUUCUUCAAAGAAGUGCAGGGUUCAAUGAUACUUAUCUUAAUCUAUGUUGAUGACAUUCUAAUAACAGGACCUGAUAAUGGUGAGCUGGAAAAAUUCAUCUCAGAAUUCAGUAAGACUUUUUCCUUAAAAGACUUAGGGAAUUCUGUCAUAUUUUCUGGGGAUAGAAGUUUCCUAUGCUGAAGACUGCAUCUAUUUAUCUCAGAAGAAAUAUAUCUUGGAUUUGUUAUCCAAAGCUGAUAUGCAAAAUUGUAAAGGCUGUGACACUCCCAUAGUUACUGGAACAAAGCUUCAGAAAGAAGUCAAAGGCUGUUUGGGUCAAUAUAUUGAGGAUGCAACAAGCUAUAGAAGCUUAGUUGGAGGUUUACAAUAUCUGGUAUUAACCAGACCAAAGAUAGCAUUUGCUGUGCAUAAGUUGAGCCAGUAUGUGACAGCUCCAACACUCCAGCAUGUUAUGGCUUGUAAAAGAGUUCUUAGAUACCUUAAGGAAACUGCAGAUCAUGGUUUGAAGUUUUCAGCAGGUGGAGAAAUGAAGAUCACAGGAUUUACAGAUGCAGAUUGGGCAUGUGAUGUUGAUGACAGAAAAUCAAUAGGAGCAUAUUGCAUUUAUUUUUGGAAACAAUCUAAUUUCAUGGUCAUCCAAGAAGCAGGCUAUGGUUACACGAUCCAGUGCAGAGAGUGAAUAUCGUGCUCUGGCUUCUGCAAGUGCAGAGAUAACAUGGAUCCAGUCAUUAUUCAGUGAACUCAACAUUAAGUGUACUUCAUUACCAACUAUCUGGUGUGAUAAUAUAAGUGCAACAGAGUUGGCCAAGAAUCCAGUUUAUCAUUCAAGGACAAAACACAUUGAACUGGAUAUGCACUUUAUUAGAGACAAAGUUUUGGCAAAGGAGUUGGAGAUUAACUAUAUUCCCAGCGAGGAGCAAAUUGCUGAUGCUUUGACAAAGCCUCUGACAUUCAUUCAUUUCAAUUAUUUCAGAGACAAACUCAAUGUGCAACCAUGCCCCUUGAGUUUGAGGGGGGCUGUCAAGGAAGCUCAUAAUGUAUGGAAGGAUGCAGCACACGUGUGAGAUGAAUACAGUCAGCUGAAGUUAGUUAGACACGUUAAGAUCAUAUUCAGUUAACUUCUUUAUUUUCUGUUAAGCUGUAAACAGCUGAGUAUAAAUACAAGCAUCUUGUAAUCAUUUCGUUGUUAAGAAAAAUGAAAUAAAGCAUUUGAUUCAGAAGUCUUUUACAAAUUUUCUUAGCACUUUAAAUACAUUUUCUCAGUAACCAAACAGUCUGUUCAUUCAAGCUUUUAAGCUUUCAAACACGCAGAACUAGAAUAAAGGAGCCUAUUCUGGUACCUAUUGUCCAAGAAAGCUUCUGUAUAUUCAGUAGGAACUACCAUGGAAGUCAAAUCUUACCAGAGCCAGGCGGAGUCGUUGCUGAAGGAAUAUAUAUUAGCAGAUCCAUUUCUCCCGUACACUUCAAUUGUUGGUAGCAUUUUUGC
rnacentral:lncRNA from 1 species